UCCCCUUCGACNCUCCCCCNAGAAAACUGGUUGGGCCAUGGGNCUUCGGGUGUUACCAACUUUCAUGACGUGACGGGCGGUGUGUACAAGGCCCGGGAACGUAUUCACCGCAGCGUUGCUGAUCUGCGAUUACUAGCGACUCCGACUUCAUGGGGUCGAGUUGCAGACCCCAAUCCGAACUAAGGCCGGCUUUCAGCGAUUAGCAUCUCCUCACGAAGUAGCACACGCGUUGUACCGACCAUUGUAGCAUGUGUGAAGCCCUGGACAUAAGGGGCAUGAUGAUUUGACGUCAUCCCCACCUUCCUCCGAGUUAACCCCGGCAGUCUCUCAUGAGUCCCCACCACAACGUGCUGGCAACAUAAGACAAGGGUUGCGCUCGUUACGGGACUUAACCCAACAUCUCACGACACGAGCUGACGACAACCAUGCACCACCUGUACACCAACCACAAAGGGAAACCGUAUCUCUACGGCGAUCUGGUGUAUGUCAAACCCAGGUAAGGUUCUUCGCGUUGCAUCGAAUUAAUCCACAUGCUCCGCCGCUUGUGCGGGCCCCCGUCAAUUCCUUUGAGUUUUAGCCUUGCGGCCGUACUCCCCAGGCGGGGCGCUUAAUGCGUUAGCUACGGCACAAAACCCGUGGAAGGGUCUCACACCUAGCGCCCACCGUUUACGGCAUGGACUACCAGGGUAUCUAAUCCUGUUCGCUACCCAUGCUUUCGCUCCUCAGUGUCAGUAACUGCCCAGAGACCUGCCUUCGCCAUCGGUGUUCCUCCUGAUAUCUGCGCAUUCCACCGCUACACCAGGAAUUCCAGUCUCCCCUACAGUACUCAAGUUAUGCCCGUAUCGCCUGCACGCCCGGAGUUAAGCCCCGGAAUUUCACAGACGACGCGACAAACCACCUACGAGCUCUUUACGCCCAGUAAAUCCGGACAACGCUCGCACCCUACGUAUUACCGCGGCUGCUGGCACGUAGUUAGCCGGUGCUUCUUCUCUAGGUACCGUCACAAAAGCUUCGUCCCUAG
rnacentral:rRNA from 1 species